UACAGGGGGGGCAAGCGUUGUUCGGAAUUACUGGGCGUAAAGGGCGCGUAGGCGGCCUUCUAAGUCAGACGUGAAAUCCCUCGGCUCAACCGGGGAACUGCGUCUGAUACUGGGAGGCUUGAAUCCGGGAGAGGAAUGCGGAAUUCCAGGUGUAGCGGUGAAAUGCGUAGAUAUCUGGAGGAACACCGGUGGCGAAGGCGGCAUUCUGGACCGGCAUUGACGCUGAGGCGCGAAAGCCAGGGGAGCAAACGGG
rnacentral:rRNA from 1 species